rnacentral:rRNA from 1 species
AGAGUUUGAUCAUGGCUCAGAUUGAACGCUGGCGGCAGGCUUAACACAUGCAAGUCGAGCGGAGAUGAGGUGCUUGCACCUUAUCUUAGCGGCGGACGGGUGAGUAAUGCUUAGGAAUCUGCCUAUUAGUGGGGGACAACAUUCCGAAAGGAAUGCUAAUACCGCAUACGUCCUACGGGAGAAAGCAGGGGAUCUUCGGACCUUGCGCUAAUAGAUGAGCCUAAGUCGGAUUAGCUAGUUGGUGGGGUAAAGGCCUACCAAGGCGACGAUCUGUAGCGGGUCUGAGAGGAUGAUCCGCCACACUGGGACUGAGACACGGCCCAGACUCCUACGGGAGGCAGCAGUGGGGAAUAUUGGACAAUGGGCGGAAGCCUGAUCCAGCCAUGCCGCGUGUGUGAAGAAGGCCUUUUGGUUGUAAAGCACUUUAAGCGAGGAGGAGGCUACCUGGAUUAAUACUCUAGGAUAGUGGACGUUACUCGCAGAAUAAGCACCGGCUAACUCUGUGCCAGCAGCCGCGGUAAUACAGAGGGUGCGAGCGUUAAUCGGAUUUACUGGGCGUAAAGCGUGCGUAGGCGGCUGAUUAAGUCGGAUGUGAAAUCCCUGAGCUUAACUUAGGAAUUGCAUUCGAUACUGGUCAGCUAGAGUAUGGGAGAGGAUGGUAGAAUUCCAGGUGUAGCGGUGAAAUGCGUAGAGAUCUGGAGGAAUACCGAUGGCGAAGGCAGCCAUCUGGCCUAAUACUGACGCUGAGGUACGAAAGCAUGGGGAGCAAACAGGAUUAGAUACCCUGGUAGUCCAUGCCGUAAACGAUGUCUACUAGCCGUUGGGGCCUUUGAGGCUUUAGUGGCGCAGCUAACGCGAUAAGUAGACCGCCUGGGGAGUACGGUCGCAAGACUAAAACUCAAAUGAAUUGACGGGGGCCCGCACAAGCGGUGGAGCAUGUGGUUUAAUUCGAUGCAACGCGAAGAACCU